AAUGAACGCUGGCGGCAGGCCUAACACAUGCAAGUCGAACGAGUGGCGGACGGGUGAGUAAUGUCUGGGAAACUGCCUGAUGGAGGGGGAUAACUACUGGAAACGGUAGCUAAUACCGCAUACCAUCAGAUGUGCCCAGUUGGGAUUAGCUUGUUGGUGGGGUAACGGCUAACCAAGUCGACGAUCCAUAGCUGAUAUGAGAGGAUGACCAGCCACACUGGAACUGAGACACGGUCCAGACUCCUACGGGAGGCAGCAGUAGGGAAUAUUGCACAAUGGGCGCAAGCCUGAUGAAGCAAUGCCGCGUGAGUGAAGAAGGCCUGCGGUUUGUAAAGCACUUUCAGCGGGGAGGCGGUACCCACAGAAGAAGCACCGGCUAACUCCGUGCCAGCAGCCGCGGUAAUUC
rnacentral:rRNA from 1 species